rnacentral:lncRNA from 1 species
AGUUUCCCAGCUGGAGUUCUCUGGGCCCAGUUGCCUGUGACAUGGGGUUGGGGGUGCUCCAGAAAGUCAUGGCCACCCCUGGAGGAAGUGACUUGUGGCUGACUGCUCAAGGGGAAGUCCUGUGGCGGUGGAGUCGUCAGCAUUCAUUCAAAUAAGGUAAGUGCUUCGGCAGGGAUGAGGGAGGGGCUGAAAGGCUGGGGGUGACUGCGAUGACCUCAAGCUUGAACUGAAACCUCUGGAAGGGCAUUGUAUUCGAACUGUUUAGAUGAUUGCACGGAAUCAUCUCAUUUUUACAUCAGCAGAAGCCUAGGCUCAGAGAGGUGAAGUGAUUUUGUCUGAGGUCACACAGCACGGUAGUGAUUGGGCUGGGUCUGAGGGCCUCUCUGGGGGUGCAUCUGAGGUCUCUGUGCCUCAGGGGAGCGGGAGGAGUGGAGACUGGGGCUGUGGCCAGGCUCUUCCUAGCCUUCCUAGGUGUCUAUCUGCUCUUCAGUGUCAUCUCCACUUUCCUUUCCCUCUGUUUCUUCCUCCUCUGCCUACAACACUCUUAGUUUGUUCUAAAUGCCCCCUUGUCAGAGCUGAGGAACUUGAGGUGACAUGCUGAAGACCCUGGCUGAGGAUCCUGGUUUGACGCAUUUUUCUUGGAACCCUUGGAUGUUCCUGGGGUCCCCAGCGGGAGUUCUGCCUCAUGCCACACGUGGGUUCAGUCCUGCGGAGCCUGGACUCUGGGUUAAGAGAGGUAUAUCCGUGGACAAUUUUCACCUUUGUCUCUCCUGGGAUUACGUGUAUAUGCCCUCUGUCCCCACCCUGUUCUGGAUUCAGAGAUGAACUGGACUUCUCGAGAAAGUGCUCAAAGUCUCAUUGGGGACUACAUAGAAAAAAUGGAAAACUACACAGGGGUCUGAGGGGAUACGCUGAGUCAUCUCCCAGAAGUGAGUGCAGUGGGCGUCUAGAGAGGGCUGUCCCUGACGGUGGUGUGGGGGGUAGUGAGAAGGAGAUUUGGGGGAGGGAGAAAGUGGUGACAUGGGGCUGCACAGAAUCAGAUGUUCAGAGGGAAGGGAAUUGAGAACUGCUCCCCAGGAGAGCUGGAAGGCUAAGUCCAGGUGACCCAGACAGAGUCACCAGGUAGUGAAGACAAGGGCAGGGUGCAGCUAUGGGGAGGCAAACCCAGAUGAUUUUCUGAGCAGUUGGCUUGUGGUCAUGAGUGUUUCGGUUUCACUGAUCCUGCUGAACACACACUGCCUCUUGCCAAGCCCAGCCUCGAAGAGUUGGAGUUAUCUGGAAACAUUCAUAAUGAAGGGAGGGCAUGAACUUGACCUUGAAGGGCCACCAGGAUUUGGGUAAGAAGAAUGGGAAAAGCAUUUGAGGGUUAGGAAAGGGGUAGAUGAAGGCUUAGAAGUGGGAAGGUGCCAGGCAUGUGGACCAGGGGACUGGAGCCAGGGCGUGGUGUGGGAAGUGGGCCGGGCUGCGAAACCAAAGGCCCUGCAGGCCAGACUCAAGCGUGGGCCUUGCCUUUUGGCUGUGGGAGCCACGGAUGGUCUUUGAACAGCAGUUAGGACUGUAUGACAGGGCCCUUAUCAUGGCACCUGAGAGUGACUGAAGGGGAAAUGGAAAUGCCAGAACCAUUAGGGUUUUUCUUCAUUGUGGGCAGUCGGGGAGAAAAGGAGAGAUGAAAAAAAUCACUGCUUUAGAGGAAUUGGGGACUGACUGGAAUCGUAUGGCGAGGGAGCGGAGGAGUGAGGGAUAGUGCCAAGUUUUCGGCCUGACACCAGCGAAAUACAAAUACGCUUGUUUCUUUACAUAGCUGAGCGCGCAGAUGAUCUUUAAGACGUGCUCGUCUGAUUUGGCACUUGGAUUCUGGGAGGAACAGGAGGAAGAGCUCUCUCAGACUGGGAUUCAAGUUUUAGCUCCCCUUGGGCUAUUAUUGUUACCUAAGAAACACAAUCAGGCUCCUGGUUGAAGAAUCAAACUAAGGACAGAGAUGUCUGUGACCCGGGCUCCCCUGCAGGCCUGCAUGGCCGGCGGCCUCUAGGACUGCCUGGUGACCCCUGCUGCUGCUGUCAUGGCCUCUCCUCGUGCCCACCCCUGGAGCGUGGGCUGGAUCUUGGGACUCGCUUCUCAUGGACAGACCACAGGCUACAGCAAAGGUGACCAGAUGCCGCUUCCGUGAUGAGGCUGAAUGUCUUGCUCACUGUCACUCACGCCUUUGCUUGGCCACUCACCCUGAAGGAAGUCACUGGCCUCAGGACAGGCCCCCAUGUAAGGAAUCGAGGUCUCCAGCCAACAGCCAUGUGAGUGAACUUGGAACCAAAUCCUACCCCAAGCAGGCCCCGAGAUGACUGCAAGCUAUCAGCUUGAUUACAGCUUGUGAGAGGCCUGGAGCCAGGGGGACCAGCUAACCACUCCCAGGUCACCAACCCACAGGGACUGUGACAUAAUCUACAUGGGUUGCGUUAGGCUGCUGAACUUGGGGAAAUUUGUUGCACAGCCAUAGAUAGCCGACACACCCAAACUCUCCUGGUGGUGUUUAAGAGCACUGGCCCCGAAGCCAGAUGCUUGUGUGCAAAUCCCGGCUCUGCCGUUUACAAGCUGCACAACCUUAAGGAAAUUAGUUGGUUCUAUGUGCCUCAGUCCCUUCACCUGUAAAAUGGGAAUAAGAAUAACGCCUGUGUCAUGGGAUGACUGUGAGGAUUAAAUGAGAUAGCCCCUACAUUGCUUGGCAUCGUGUUAGCACUCAGUCAGUAUCAGCUUCUAUUACCACGAUUACUAUUGUCUACCCUUGAAGGCCAGCUGAACGCCCAUCCUGCCUACAACUUCUCCUUACUGCCCCAGUGCAUGCUGGCCUCUCCUUGGCACUGCACACUCUGAUUCUCCAUGAAAAACUCUUGAAUUUGUUCUCUGAGGGUCUCAGAUGUGUAACCUCUUCUCUUCCCAACUGUGUUAGUCCAUUUUGCAUUGCUGUAAGGGAAGACCUGAUGCUGGGUAAUUUACAAAGAAAAGAGGUGUAUUUGGCUCACCAUUCUGCUGGCUGUAAAAGCAUGGAACUGGCAUAUCUGCUUUAGGCAAGAACAUCAGGAAGCUGCCACUCAUGGCAGAAGGUGAAGGGGAGCAGGUGCUCCCCUGGUGAGACAGGGAACAAGAGAGUGGGGAAGACCCCAGGCUCUAACCAGCAGAUCUUGUGGUAACUCAUUACCACUAGAAAGGUACCAAGCCAUUCAUGAGGGCUCCCAUGACACAAUCACCCCCUUCCAGGCCCCACCUCCAGCACUGGGGAUCACAUUUCAACAUGAGAUUUGGAGGGGACACACAUCCAAACCAUAUCACCAGCUCUGAAGGGUCUCCAGGAAGACUUGGCAGAGUGCUUGAUGCAGAAUGAGAGGGCGGAGUUAAAGUGGACAGAUGGUGAGAGAGAUGUCAUUAGCCGUGAGCCUGCGGAGGCCAGGACCAGGUGGAGAUACUGGUUGCUGCUUGUGAGGUCCUAGACUGUCCAGGCACAGAACAAGUGCAGAGCCAUCUUGUUAAUCUGGAUAGAGUGAACAGAAAUGACACAUUCAGAGGCCUCGAGAAAAUGCACAAGGCCAUGAAGGGGACAUGAAGACCGGUUCUACGGAGGUUCCCUUAGUGCAAAGUGAGUGCUUGGUAAAUGUUUGUUGCACAAAGGUUUGUUGAAUGGAGCCAGAUGUUCAUUCUUGCCAGUUUGGUGAAGGUCCCCUGAAGUGGCUGGAAUUUGGAUGAUGGGAAAAGAGACUGAUCACUGUGAAAGGAAGAGGAAAGCUGAAAGUCACAGGAAAGGAUUUUAAGCAGGAGCCUGAGCUUGGUGCUGGCACCUCGGGCCACAUGUACCCUCCCCGCAACUGUGCCCGCC